UGGGGAAUUUUGGACAAUGGGCGAAAGCCUGAUCCAGCAAUGCCGCGUGCAGGAUGAAGGCCUUCGGGUUGUAAACUGCUUUUGUACGGAACGAAACGGCGAGCUCUAAUAAAGUUUGCUAAUGACGGUACCGUAAGAAUAAGCACCGGCUAACUACGUGCCAGCAGCCGCGGUAAUACGUAGGGUGCGAGCGUUAAUCGGAAUUACUGGGCGUAAAGCGUGCGCAGGCGGUUAUAUAAGACAGAUGUGAAAUCCCCGGGCUCAACCUGGGACCUGCAUUUGUGACUGUAUAGCUAGAGUACGGUAGAGGGGGAUGGAAUUCCGCGUGUAGCAGUGAAAUGCGUAGAUAUGCGGAGGAACACCGAUGGCGAAGGCAGCCCCCUGGGUCAAGAUUGACGCUCAUGCACGAAAGCGUGGGGAGCAAACAGGAUUAGAUACCCUGGUAGUCCCUGAGCGGGCUGGCAAGGCGCAU
rnacentral:rRNA from 1 species